AGAUUUUUAGUAGAUCAGCGACUGCAUGAACGUCGUUUUCAUAGUCCUCAGGUGUAUGUAAUUGUAAGAGAGGAUUAUUCUCAAAUUGAGAACGUAACAUGUUGACACGGGCGGAAGAGCUGGGAACACGGUAGAUGCCCUGGAGGUUGAGACCAAAAUUUUCGACUUGGGAAGUGCAUUGCAUUACGAUGUUUGGAAUGUUGGAAUGUUCUCGUAGAAUGAUUGCGUCUAAUCGAGCACCAAAGAGUAACGAUUUCGUAGGAGAGGAAGGUUGAGGGGAGACAGAAGUUGGUCGGAAGGGAGAUGCAGCACGGUUUGAGUUGAUGCUAGAAGGCGGUGGUGCGACUUCUCGAGACGUUUGAAUCGUUGUCGUCUGGAUGGGAGGUAAAGUAGGAAGUAGUACGGGAGGUGAUUGUUGGGCAACAGGGGGCUUGUUUUCUGCAUUAGAAGCGAGUGGAGAAGAGGUACGAGGAUUGGAAGAAGAGGAUGAAGAAGAACCGUUUGUGUCAUUGGCGGUACUAGGUUUUAGGGUAGAAGCCAAAGGAGAGGCUGAAGCGGGAGCAGUAGAGGGAUUGGAAGUAGAUGAGUUUGGGAAGGCAGGGGAAGCCACAGAAGGGUUGGGAAAAGUGGAUGGAGCAGGAUUAGUGUUUUGUAGGGGAGAGGGAAUAGCAGCAGUAACCUUGAUGGUGGGGUUGACGGGUGGAUUGGUUUUUCCGGCAGAGGAACCAGUUCCGUAAGAGCUUGGAGGUUGAAUGAUUUUUGUUUUAGAAGCGUCGGUUGGAUUUUUGUUAUCUUCAUGCUUGAUGGAGGCGUGAAGGACGUAUUGAACAAAAUCGGUAUUUGCAUUUAUAUUAUCCAAAGCAUGUUGUAAACCACAGUUGGUAGGAGUGGGCUUUUGUGGACGGAUUGUGAGACCGUUGAGCAGGGUGUUUGACUCGCAGAGCUUUGUGUACCGUAGAUAGUUUGCAAUGAGUGAGCUUUCAAUUUCGCGUUGAAGGGAAAAGAAUUGCUUUAUGUAGUUUGGUCGGUGAAUACACAAAAGUUGUUUUUGAACGUUUUGAGCGUUUUCAAUCUUACUGUGCAUAUCUGAUUCUGCAUUUUCGGCCUUAAGGCGAGCUUCAUCUUCGAGUUUGGUGAGCUGAGCAUUAGAUUUUGGUUUAAAAAAACCAACCUUCUUCUGGGAGUCUCCAGUGUUUUUGUUGUCGAGAGCGCGGUUGUACUCGGUUUCGGCACCCUUAAAGCGAGAUUUGGAUUUAUCCAUUUGCAUAACGGCUUCUAAAUAUGCGUUUUCUUGUUUUUUCGCAUAUUCCUUGAUGGAUUUUCGUUUGCGUUCUGCGUUUUUGUGAAAUUCGAUGACUUGAUCGGAAAAUGCAGAAAGAGUUUUUUGAAGGGUUAAACUGUGAUUGGCAAGUUGUUCAUGAAUUUCCAUACUCGUAAUGACAGAGGCGGAAAAAGAUUGGGGAGAGUGGUGUUUGGAUUGAAACGUCUCUAGGUAGGAUUUAGCAAGUUUUUGUAAAUUUUUUCCACUUUCUUCUUCGAGAAUGGAACGCUUUUUAAAGAAUCCGGCGAGUUCUUUGCAAGUGAGGAGGUAGUCUUUAAUGCGAUCAUUUAGGAUUGCUAGACCAAGUUCCGAAUUGAGGAUCGCUUCGACUUUUGGUUCUUUGAGAACUGCGAAAUCAUCAGAGGAAGUGGUAUUUGGAGGCGAUGUUGGUGGGGAAGCGGGAGUGGUAGAGGAGGAGGGAGCCGACAGCAUUGAAGGAGUUGAGUGAUGGGCGGGAGCAAGAGAAGUAAAUAGAGUGAGAGAAUAG
rnacentral:lncRNA from 1 species